rnacentral:rRNA from 1 species
GUGGAACAAGAUAUGGAAGAGACAAAAAUUCUUUGCUUUGAUUCCCUACAUGAGUUUCCACAAUCCACAAGGUAUAUUUGUUAUUCCCCUUCUUUUCUGGUUUAUUACGAACAACGCUUAAGCAACAAUAAUAUUUUGGUUAGCCCAACAAACAGAAAUAUUGAAUGUUUAAUCAGACUGAAGAAAGUUUUACUUGAUGAUGAUUCAGUUGGUGCGCUCGACUAAACUUUGAGAGCUGUGUACACUCGAACGUUACAUCUAAUUGGCAAUUUUAUACAUGUCUUCUCUUUUUGGAAUCACACUCACAAAUCUAUGUUGGCAGAAAGGAUGAGCCCUGAAAUGUGAAGCACCGGUAACAUAUGGUUGAAUAUGCUUUAAGGGCAGGAGGCCACUAUCAUCAAUAGGAAAGAUGACUACUUG